rnacentral:rRNA from 1 species
GACGAACGCUGGCGGCGUGCCUAAUACAUGCAAGUAGAACGCUGAAGAGAGGAGCUUGCUCUUCUUGGAUGAGUUGCGAACGGGUGAGUAACGCGUAGGUAACCUGCCUGGUAGCGGGGGAUAACUAUUGGAAACGAUAGCUAAUACCGCAUAAAAUUGAUUAUUGCAUGAUAAUUAAUUGAAAGAUGCAACUGCAUCACUACCAGAUGGACCUGCGUUGUAUUAGCUAGUUGGUGAGGUAACGGCUCACCAAGGCAACGAUACAUAGCCGACCUGAGAGGGUGAUCGGCCACACUGGGACUGAGACACGGCCCAGACUCCUACGGGAGGCAGCAGUAGGGAAUCUUCGGCAAUGGACGGAAGUCUGACCGAGCAACGCCGCGUGAGUGAAGAAGGUUUUCGGAUCGUAAAGCUCUGUUGUAAGAGAAGAACGAGUGUGAGAGUGGAAAG